rnacentral:misc_RNA from 1 species
CAUUAAUAGCCAUGUUUACCUGUACUUGUAGUUGACUGCCAAAAAUGCUGUCGAGGCAUCUGUACAUCUUCUUUGUCGAAUUGCAUUAUAAAAGUACAUCAAGAUGAGACAUCAUAUACAUUCAUAUAAAUUUUAUUGAGCACGAAACCUUGGAGUGUAGCCAGGACAUUUCCUCGAAACUAUGGGCGGCCAUGUAGCUUCAAUAUCUUGUAAAUUACAUCACUGAACAUAGGUCAAGGUGUAUUCAGUAAACAAAGAUCUGAAGGGCUGUAUUUCCUUUAUCGAACAUACUAUGCGUUCAUCACAGUUUGUGACGGAUUACGGAUACGAACGAACUAGCACUUGUUUGGCAGGUACCCCUGGUUUGCCGAAUUGGGUCUGCGGUGGUACGGUCUCCCCGCCGUGUCGGCCAUCUUGUUUGACUGUGGGGGUCUAGAGUUCACCGCGGCCCCCUUCAAUGGCUGGUAUACGGGGACAGAGAUCGGGGCGAGAGAUUUUUGUGACGUGUCCCGCUACAACAUCACCGAGGACUCAUCAUAAAUAAAACAUCAGCCCAGAACGAGAACUUUGUUGUUCCUGUGACAUUAUGGCGCCCAACGUGGGGCUGAUGUAGGAAUGAAGACCACAGCUUGUGUGGCCGUGAAUUCAUCGUAUCCCUGUGGUAGUAAUCACAGCAGCUGCAGUCUCCGCAUGGAUGGAGCAAUUCUUUUCUCGUGCUGAGAUAUUCAGUUGGAAGUGGUAGGGCCCGUACCCCAUGGGGAAAUUAUGAUUGACAUCGCCGGCAUCAUGUGUACACUCGCGUUAUCGCGUUCGCGUUCCUAAGUUGGUUGUUGUUGUUUUAGUUUUUUUCUUUUUGUGCCAGGACAAUAACUUUCUGUUCACGGACUUCGCUGAGGUGCAAGUGACUUUAUACUUUUCAUUGUGUUUACUUGACAUUGUGAUGUCAGCAUGUGACUUUGCAUUACCUUUGCUAGAUAAUUUUGUCAGCAUGUGACAUUGUUCUAGUCGACAAAGUGAAGAUUGUGUUUGUUGCAGCCAUGGCUACUGGUGGGAAAGAGGACUGGGAAGGCUUGAAGGAGGAAGAGGGGCACAUUGGCCGUGAGGAUCUCCAGAAAAUGAUCAGGUUUAUGGAAACAUAUGGCUACCGUGUGCUUCCACCAAGUUCAACACCUCACCGGGUGGCAAGUCAUUCCUUUUCUUCUUCACCUAGUACACAUUAUGUGCAGCCACCUCGUAUUUCAACAUUUUCUGGCAGUGAUGCUAAGGGGGAAUCAUCCUUCGAGAGUUGGGUUUUUGAGGUCAAAUGCUUCCUUAGAGAUAGAGAUUAUCCCACUUCCAUCCUAACUCAGGCUGUUCGGAAAUCUCUUAAAGGGGAGGCUGGAAAAGUUGUUCUCUUACUUGGAGAAUCUGCCUCAGUUGAGGAAAUCUUGGCUAAACUGGAUAGCAUAUAUGGUGUCGUU